AAAUGCGAUAAGUAGUGUGAAUUGCAGAAUUCAGUGAAUCAUCGAAUCUUUGAACGCACAUUGCGCCCCUCGGUAUUCCGUGGGGCAUGCCUGUUCGAGCGUCAUCUACACCCUCAAGCUCUGCUUGGUGUUGGGCGUCUGUCCCGCCUCCUUCGCGCGCGGACUCGCCCCAAAUCCAUUGGCGGCGGCCCUUGCCUCCCUCUCGCGCAGCACAUUGCGCUUCUCGAGGCGCGGCGGACCGCGUCCAGCAAGCAACCGUCACACCGUCUUUGACCUCGGAUCAGGUAGGGAUACCCGCUGAACUUAAGC
rnacentral:misc_RNA from 1 species